rnacentral:tRNA from 1 species
GCCGUGAUCAGUACAGUGGUUAGUACUCUGCGUUGUGGCCCCAGCAACCCCGGUUAGAAUCCGGGUCACGGCA